GGAUUAGAUACCCUGGUAGUCCACGCCCUAAACGAUGAGAACUAGCCGUUGGGUACAUUUAAGUGCUUAGUGGCGAAGCUAACGCGUUAAGUUCUCCGCCUGGGGAGUACGGCCGCAAGGUUGAAACUCAAAGGAAUUGACGGGGGCCCGCACAAGCGGUGGAGCAUGUGGUUUAAUUCGAUGCAACGCGAAGAACCUUACCUGGCCUUGACAUGUCCGGAACCUUGCAGAGAUGCGAGGGUGCCUUCGGGAAUCGGAACACAGGUGCUGCAUGGCUGUCGUCAGCUCGUGCUG
rnacentral:rRNA from 1 species